rnacentral:rRNA from 1 species
AUUGAACGCUGGCGGCAGGCCUAACACAUGCAAGUCGAGUGGGGUUUUCGGACCUAGCGGCGGACGGGAGAGAAAUGUGUAGGAAGCUGCCCGAUAGAGGGGGAUACCAGUUGGAAACGACUGUUUAUACCGCAUAAUGUCUACGGACCAAAGUGUGGGACCUUCGGGCCCCAUGCUAUCGGAUGCGCCUACGUGGGAUUAGCUAGUUGGUGAGGUAAUUGCUCACAAAGGCCACGGUCUCUAGCUGGCAUGAGAGGAUGAACAGCCACACUGGAACGGAGGAACGGUCCAGAUACCUCCGGUAGGCUGGAGAGGGGUAUAGUGUAGAUUGAGCGAAAGCCUGAUCCAGCCAUGCCGCGUGUGUGAAGAAGGCCUUCGGGUUGUAAAGCACUUUCAGCGGGGAGGAAGGGUGGCGUUUUAAUAGCACAACAUUUUGACGUUACUCACAGAAGAAGCACCGGCUAACUCUGUGCCUGCCGCUGCCGUAAAAC